GGGGCACGUACCACUUCUGCAGCCGUAGCUUGCCCUGUCUGCUGAACAGAAGCAUGAACUGCAUCUGAAACAAAAAGAUCGCAUCCGAAGCAUCAGACCGCAAGAGGAGAGUGACAGCAAGAGGAAAUGGUGCAAGGCCGAGCAGCAAGAUGGAGGCCAGCGUUCGUUGGACCGCGCUCCUUUUCCUCCUCAUCCUUUUGCAGGGUAAGUCCGCAAACUUCAUCAAUAUCAUUAUCAGCAUGAUAAAUUGUCAUUUUUAUUAAGGCACAAAACACAGUGGAACCUCUGAAAGCGACGACACAAACUAUUCGGUUCCUCGUUUUGGGUGGACACGUCUGGCAUAACUGAGCAUGUGAAAAAGUCGCAAGGAAUGAUACCCGAAACUGAACAGGAGGUCAGCCAUUUUGGUUUGAAGCAGUUUUGAGGAAGAUCCAGGACUAAAUUUAAUAUUUUUUGAAGAAGCUCCCAACACCUCAAAAUGUCCAUCAUAAAAGGGCGCAUGAAAAAAAUCUCAGGACCCGAGACUGAAAUCGAACAGGAUGAGUAGCUUCUACUUCAUCUUCGGGGUUAAAAGCCUGAGAUCGUCUUCAAAGGCCAAAUUGAUCCAUUUGUGUGUUCGUUGGAUUUUGGCGGUUCCACUGUAGACUGAACCAUGUUUAACUAUUGUCUAUAAAACCGUUAGAGAUGUCUUUUUACGUUCCAUGCUUCCAUGGAUGUGGUACAGCCCUGACUGCUGUUCACUCUCAGGAGGUAAAAAAAUGAACCAAAUGUCUUUGAGUCUUUUAGACUUUUCCACCACCACCACGUCACGCGUACUUCUGGGUGGCAAAAAAAA